rnacentral:rRNA from 1 species
GACGAACGCUGGCGGCGUGCUUAACACAUGCAAGUCGAACGAAGUGGCGAACGGGUGAGUAAUACAUGGGUAACCUGCCCUCCUUGUUGGGAUAAGCCUUGAAAAGGGGGUUUAUUACCCAAUAGAAGUGGCUGAUCUCGAGGCAUAUCAGCUUGUUGGUGGGGUGACGGCCUACCAAGGCGGUGACGGGUAGCUGGCCUGAGAGGGUGACCGGCCACAUUGGGACUGAGAGACGGCCCAGACUCCUACGGGAGGCAGCAGUGGGGGAUAUUGCACAAUGGGCGCAAGCCUGAUGCAGCCAUGCCGCGUGUAUGAAGAAGGCCUUAGGGUUGUAAAGUACUUUCAGCGGGGGAUCGUUACCCGCAGAAGAAGCACCGGCUAACUCCGUGCCAGCCGCCGCGGUAAUUC